AAAUGAACACACCCACAAAUGUCAUCCUUAAAUUUACAGUAAAAAGAGAAAUUCACCAACGCCGACUCCAAAGAACGCAGCCUGCAUGCCUGAUGACGCGUCUAUAAACAGGAAGCGUCCAUGAAUAGGUCAUGAUGGCAUGACUCAAUUACCCUUUGUUGGGUUACAGCCACGGAUAGUAACGCAUUUAUUAGAUUUUAUUUGAUAGGUCAACACUUAGUGGAGUGUAAUUUGGUAGGGACGGAAAAUGGAUACAUCGUUUUCAAUUAAAUAAACUCAAUUGCAACUAAAUGACAGUGUCACCAGAUUUGUGCCUGCUAACGUGCUGUUGUAAUUUUAACAGAAAUGCUAUUGUUCUGUGAAGCAUUCAAAGGUUUCUUAGCAAAAUCUUGGUAAACCUAUAACACCAUGACGACCAAAGAAAACACCACAGAGGCAAUUAUGCGUUUUUCCACUAGUACCUACACCAGAGGUGUCAAACUCCAGUCCUCCAGGGCCGCUGUCCUGCAACGUUUAGAUGCGCCUCUGCUGCACCACACCCAAACAGAAUAAUUAGGUCAUUAACAGGAGUCUACACAAGAAGGAGGCAAUUAAGCCAUUUGACUCCAACGUUUUCUACCUGCGGCACAUCUAAAAACGGCAGGACAGUGGCCUUUGAGGAGUGGAGUAUGACACCCCUGACCUACACAGUUCGGCUCAACUCUGCGUUUCGGACUGUUUUCCAUUACAAUUGAAUACCUAUGUGGGUGAGGUCGUGGCCCCAGAGUACAAAACAUAACAUGAGAAGAUUUGUAUACACAACAAGCACAAAAACGUCUGCACCUCAUUGUCAGAACAAACUCAGUGUUGCGUUGCCAUUUUCCCCCUAAAGCUCCAAAUAGCAGUUAUGCACUGCCAUAAGAGAAGCAGAGAAGAGUCCCGGAAAACUCAGGUGGCAGAACAUGUUCACAGGACAGCUGUUAGUCAUGCCUUUGUGUAAGAAUGGAAAGAAGAAAGCCAUUGUUGAGAAGUCAACAGAAGUCCAGUUAAGCUGUGAAAACUACAUAAAGAACAGAAUAAACAUGCUUAAGAAAGUGGCCUGCAUGCAAAACACACCAUCUCAACAGCAAAACAUAGUGGUGGCGGCAUCAUGCUGUGAGAGGAUGCUUUUCUUCCUCAGGGUCAAGGAAGCUGGUCAGAGUUGAAGAGAAGAUCAUUCUGAAGCUCAAUCCGAAUGGAUGGAAAUUCUGGCCUCUGAUGUGCAAAGCUGACAUUAAAGAGGGAUCCGUUUCAGAGCGAAACGAAGUUCCACAGUGUAAGCGGAACAUUUCAAACGCACAAUGUCCGCUUGUUCUCGAGUAAAAAAAAGUUAAACCAUGUAACAAUUUGUCUUUACUUCAAUUAUGUACCACUUUAUUGGUUUUUCACGCAGAAUCUCUAUAAAAGACAGUAAUGUGAAGAGAAAAAGUAAAUACUCUGUGAACCACAACAACAAGGCUUCAUGUACAUGAGAAGGUUUCAGGCCUUUUUUUAACUCAAUACACCACAGACCAUAAGGACGAGUGUAAAGAGCAGCACCUGAAAAGAAAAAGUGUGGAGAUUUUUAACUGAGAUCAACAAAGUCCAAAAUCUGACAUGUUUCUGUGACAUUUCAUUAUGUCACAGUGCUGUUAUUAGUGUUGGCAAGAGGUAUAGUAGCACUCAUUGCAACAUGCAUUUUUCAUAUGGAAAUGGAUUAAAUUAUCUGUAAAUAAACAUUUUUUAGAGCAGCUUGAACAAUGAAAACAGUAGGGUUAUAACAGAAGACAAAACAGACAAAACUUAUGAAGUACUGGUUUUAUACAGCCCCAGUUGCAAUCCGAAUCAUGCAUCUCUUGGUUUUCUAGUGGGAAACACUAAUGGUCUGUCUGCAUCAGACUUGUUGAAAAAGUACCAACAAACCCCCCAUCCCGACCCCCCAAAAGAAAAAAUAAA